CUACGGGCUGCUCCAGUGAGGAAUAUUGCACAAUGGGGGGAACCCUGAUGCAGCAACGCCGCGUGGAGGAUGACGCAUUUCGGUGUGUAAACUCCUUUUAUAUGUCAAGAAAAUGACGGUAGCAUAUGAAUAAGCACCGGCUAACUCCGUGCCAGCGGCCGCGGUAUACGGAGGGUGCAAGCGUUACUCGGAAUCACUGGGCGUAAAGGACGCGUAGGCGGGUUGGAAAGUCAGGUGUGAAAUCCUACAGCUUAACUGUAGAACUGCACUUGAAACUUCUAAUCUAGAGUAUGGGAGGGGGAGAUGGAAUUAGUGGUGUAGGGGUAAAAUCCGUAGAUAUCGCUAGGAAUACCUAAAGCGAAGGCGAUCUCCUGGAACAUUACUGACGCUAAGGCGUGAAAGCGUGGGGAGCAAACAGGAUUAGAUACCCUCGUAGUC
rnacentral:rRNA from 1 species